GGCGUUAUUCCGGAUUUAUUGGGCGUAAAAGGGCUNGUAGGCGGUUNGUCGCGUUCCGGUGUGAAANUUCCAUCGCCCUAACGGUGGAUCUNCGCCGGGUACGGGCGGGCUGGAGUGCGGUAGGGGAGACUGGAAUUNCCGGUGUAACGGUGGAAUGUGUAGAUAUCGGGAAGAACACCAAUGGCGAAGGCAGGUCUUUGGGCCGUUACUGACGCUGAGGAGCGAAAGCGUGGGGAGCGAACAGGAUUAGAUACCCUGGUAGUCCACNCCGUAAACGGUGGAUGCUGGAUGUGGGGCCCUUCCACGGGUCCCGUGUCGGAGCCAACGCGUUAAGCAUCCCGCCUGGGGAGUACGGCCGCAAGGCUAAAACUCAAAGAAAUUGACGGGGGCCCGCACAAGCGGCGGAGCAUGCGGAUUAAUUCGAUGCAACGCGAAGAACCUUACCUGGGCUUGACAUGUUCCCGGCGACGGCGGAGANGUCGUUUCCCUUCGGGGCGGGUUCACAGGUGGUGCAUGGUCGUCGUCAGCUCGUGUCGUGAGAUGUUGGGUCAAGUCCCGCAACGAGCGCAACCCUCGCCCCGUGUUGCCAGCGCGUCAUGGCGGGAACUCACGGGGGACCGCCGGGGUUAACCCGGAGGAAGGUGGGGAUGACGUCAGAUCAUCAUGCCCCUUNCGUCCAGGGCUUCACGCAUGCUACAAUGGCCGGUACAACGGGAUGCGAUCAUGGUGACAUGGAGCGGAUCCCUGAAAACCGGUAUCAGUUCGGAUCGG
rnacentral:rRNA from 1 species